GGCUGGUUCCAAGGUAGUGAGUUAUCUCACUAGAUUGUUCACAGUCAGUUACAGAUUGAACUCCUUGUUCUAAUACUUUCCUGCCUUCUUACUACUGCACUUGACCAGUCUUAA
rnacentral:Y_RNA from 1 species